rnacentral:lncRNA from 1 species
UUUUCGUGUAAGGGAUGUUAACUGAAAUUUUGAUCUCGCUUCCGCAUUUGAUAUAUUUAAAUACUUAUUUCAUUUUAAUAUUUCCGGGGCCGUUACAGUUGGUAUCAGAGCCGCGUUUCCUCGGACCCAUCCCUUACACUAUAGUCCUUUAAAGAAAUACUCACCGAUUGGUCGUUACUCAACCAUUCCUUGUAAAUGCAAGUACACAGAAAUGAGGAGAGGAAGGCCCCCACUAAACCGAGCGGCCCAAGAUAAUUCGCUUCGGGAGGAUUUGGACAGAUUAUAUGAGAUGGUGGAAGCUCUCGUAGCUGCCCAGCGAAGGCAAGAGGAGAGAAGGGAGUUACCCGGACCUCCUCCGCUAGCGCAGGUUGAGCCCCCGUUACAGCAGGCUGAUCCCGAG